rfam:Cucumis sativus cultivar 9930 chromosome 3, whole genome shotgun sequence.
GUGUUUGAUUAAAGGAGAGAUGGUUGGCAUCUCCUGUGACAGGGUCGGGAACACCCUUCGGGCUUCCCCCUGUUAACACAUAUGGUUAAGGAAUCAGGUUUGCAACUAGAGUCAGAUAUAUGG